ensembl:lncRNA
GUCAGGUGUUGCUCACCUCUCGCUGGCUCUCUGUCCUGUCCUGGAGGGGGGCUGCACAUCAGGUGGGAUGAUGAACUUGAGAUGCUCCCACUCCAGGACUGUCCCUCUGCUGCAGCCAUAAGGAGAAGGGAGAAGCUGGAGGAUAGUGCACUUGAGGCUGGAAUGGACGGAGAGGCUUUAAAGGAGGGUGAGAAGUGUGGCUGCCCUUCCCAAGGAGGCAGAGUGGAUAUGGGGUGGGUAUGUGACACUGCUUUGUCACCGUCACCUGGAAUGGUUCCUGUCCUGGAGCUGUGUCCUUAUUUCAGGCAUGCAGGAAACCACCACCUGUGACCGCCUCAUUCACUGCCCAGCUCUGAAGGAUUCAAGCACCAGGUCCACACCGAGCAGAGCUCCAGCUUCAAAUCCAGUGAGGCUCAGCUCCUUGCGACUCCCAGCAGGAGCAGCAGGUAUGAUCAGUCCAUACCAACCCAGUGGAGCUGGGCCCGUGGUACUGCUGCACACCAGAGCUCUGUGUUGGCAAAGCUGCUGCUGCCCAUGCCUGCAGCCUGCCCUGCGUUGGGACCCCGCUGAGGUUGGGGCUGACAGGUGGGGUGAGGAGGAAGAUGGCGCAGAUGGGGGAGGAGCUGUCACCAGAUGGUGGUGAAUGGAUGCAUCCAAACACAAACAAAUCACCCUCCAGCUGAAGAGGCAGGCAGAGAGAGCUGGAAGCAUGGGGAGGAUUUAUUUUUAACUCUGCAGAGUAUUAAAUAACAUGUCCUGGAACGCAUGUGAAUGAGAGCAGGGGGCCCGGCUGGGACUGCCAGAUCUCAGGCCAGCUCCUGUGCCUUGUGCCCUGGGAUGGGGCUGCCCAGCCAGGAGCAGACAGGCGUGUGCAUGUGGUGCUUUUUGGGCCUUAUUAUAAUCCUUGAGGGUUUGUUGUUUUAUCUGAAUGUAUGCCUGAGUGUCUGAGGGAAGAGGCUCUGGGCUUGGCUGGUGGUGACAAGAUAAUAACUGCUUUAUUUCUUGACCUGUGUUUGUUUAAAGGAAGAAAAAAGGGUCCUUUUUUUCCUUAAUUAGCAAAGGAGGAACUUGAGGUGAAGCCGUAGAGAGGGGAUGGCCAGGCUUAAACCUGCCUUGGCCUCCAGGACGAAGGAUGCAGCCAAGGCUCCGGCUUUUCCUGCACAAAGGAAAAGGAAAUGGGGAAAAAAGCAGAGUUGUGAGUGUGCCUGGUGUGCCCUGCAGGUGGGCUGUGGUGCUGCACCCUGGGGUCUGGCAGCACCCUGAGAUGCCCAGUCCAGGCUGAUGUCUGUGACUAUGGGAUGCUCAGCAGCUCAGUGCAUCAGUGCAGGCAUCCAUGCAGCCAUGACCCAGAUCAGGGGAGUGAUCUGGAUUAACACUAAUCCCCCCACCCCAAGGAGUGCAAGCCCUGCCAUGGGCCCAGAUUGCUUUCAGGGCAUCUCCUCCCUAAACAGACUAGGAGAGCCCAGCAGUGCCACCCGAACAUGAGCAAACUGCAGCAGUGAGCACUCUUCUCUCCUGCAUCCCCAGAGAAAGCUGGAGGCUGAUUUAGGAGCGGCA